GCCUGGGUGGCUUAGUCGAUUAAGCGCCCGACUUCGGCUCAGGUCAUGAUCUCACACAUCGUGGGUUCGAGUCCCGCAUCGGGUU
rnacentral:tRNA from 1 species